UGAGGAGGAACAGGCGCGCUCGAGGCCGAGCGGCCCCCGGCGGCUCCGCUGCCCCCGUGUCCCCAGGGCCAUCUCGCCGAACGGGCCUGUGGGCCCUGCCGGGGCUUUGGGGGGAAGGCUGGUGGCUGGUAUCGGUCAUCUCGGGAAUGAAAGGGGGAAAGCGGCCUCGGGAGUGGAAGGGCAAGUUCAGGUUUUAAAGUUCAGCAGCUUGUUAGUGCUUGGGAGUUCAAGUGUGUGGUAGGAAAUACAUAGCCCUUUUUGUUUUUCCCUUGUCUUCGUGUGUCAUUUUGGGUUUGUCAAGGAUGAGAAGAAGAGAAUUCAGAACCCACUCUUCCAGAAUCUGUAUAAACCAAAUUGCCAUGCCGGCAAUGCUGAGGGAUUCUGGAUCCUCCUCUUAGAAGGAGGGCAGCCCAGGAUGAAUGCAUGCUUAUGCAAUAGAGCAGCCAGACUGUUGUGCUUAAAACACCGAGUGAGUGUUGGGAACACACACUUUAGCUGUCAGAGUGAGGUUUUUCCAAAUGACUUGUUCUGAUGCACACUUGGCAUUGAAUGGGAAAAAAGACAGCCCAGGGACCGAGUCCAUCAGCUUAGCUUUUUGAAAGAGGCGUUAGGUACAUAGAGUGUAUGAAAUUUGUUAUUGUCUUUCAGCACCUGCUUUGUGGUUGAGAGUUUAAUUUUCAGGGAUAGACUAGAGAUGCUUUAUUGGCAAACACAUUUGCAUGAAGGAAAUUGCAUAACACUACCACUUACUCUCUUUAAGUACAAAAUUAAUUAAUUUCCUAGAGACUAGGCUAAAUUAAAUUGACUUAGGUAUUCUACUUAAUGUAACGGACCCUAAAUCUAGAUCUAUUUUCUUUUCUUGUUUAUCUUGUAGGACCCAGAUGACUUUGGGAUGAGAGGGACACUGCUGCCACAGGCAGUUCACAAAAAAGAAUAGACACUUUUUAAAAUUAAACACUUGGACCUUUUCCUUCUAAAGCAAGGGACUGAACUUCAUGGAUUGUAGCACGAGAAUUCAACUUCAUUCUUUAAAUUUCUAAGCUGCACUCUGGCAGUGGAUGCCACAAAGACAGCAAGGCUGUCAGUCUACUUAGUGAAAUAUUUUUUAGUCCCCAUUUUGAGUCAGAAAAAAAAUAGUAACAUACUCUGAGAAGGUGAAUUGACUACUACACAAAGGGUAAAAGUUUGAUUGAAGUAUGAAAUGAUGAAUUUUUUUUUAAUAAAUCCUCACCAAAUGUUUGCUAAUCUU